CAAGGAAAAAAAAUAGGGCAAUUGAUCCAUCUCAAUAAUAAAGACAGUAAAGAAUUUAGACAAACCACAUCUUUUAAAAUGGAAACCAUUAAUACUUUCUUUCUAGGAUACAUCCUCCUUCACAAUCUAAUACACAAAAUACAUAAGGAGAGGCAGAUUAGGGUGAGUUAUCACAAUGUAAUGCAGGGUCUGAACAGCUCUUGGUUCAGGAAGUAAAAGAAAGCAAGGCAGUCAACUAAAAUAUAAUGCUAUAUAAUUAUGGAAGAGCACACAGCACAGGUGUCCUCUGUUUCCCGAAGGACUGAAAAUAGCAUGCUGGUCUUGUUUUGUUUGGGACUUAUGCACCUUCAUAACUGCACACUUAAUUUGAAAGAAAAAAGAAAGGAAAAAAGACGAAAACAGUUGUAAUAAACUCAGAAAUAAUGUACAAAGUUACAGUACCAAAGUAAUGCAUUUAUAAACAAAUGCAAAGAAUAUCCCUUUUGAUAAACAAUAAUGCCUUUUUCAGUCAAAUGCAUACCCAUGCUAUUCCACAACACUAUACAUAUUUUUAUCUACAACAAACAACAAGAUCUUAAAGCCCCACCCCACCCCCAAACAGAAAUUACAAGAAAAAAUUGGGGAAAAUAUAAUUGAAAGUGAACACAAAAUUUAAACAUAUGCACAUAUAUAUGUACAUAUAUAUUUCUGGAAAAAGAAAACCUUUAAAGUUUUAUAAAGCAGAGACAGAAAUACAUAAUGGAGACAAAGUUAUGAACUGUGUGCUAUUAUGAAAUUUUAUGAACUCAAAUAUUAUUAGUUAUAUGAAAAAAAUUUUCUUUACAAUUAAAAAAAUUAGAAUUAUUUUGACUAGCCUUUUAAUGAACAUUUACAUGGCCAAAUGAAAAACUUCAAUCUUCAAAGCUUCUGUAUGAGGAAAGAAUCCUCUUAUAAGCCAGUGUAACAAUGGAGCGAACAUUUCAGGAAUUCCAGAUCUUCUUGGAGAUAGAUACAUGCAAACACAUAUAUAUACACAUACAUAUAUGUGUGGUGUGUGUGUGUACAUAUGUGUGUGUGUGUGUGUGUCUGUGUGUGUUUGUGUAUUCCCCCUCCCCCCCCAUUCUACAACACUAUUUUUUAAUGGAAAUGAGGCAAAUAAGGAAUGGUGGUUUAUCUGCCUUUCAGGCAGGGAAGUAAGCUACACAGGAGACAAUUAGAAGGAGACUCCUGUGACAUCCUCUUUGGUUCAAGGUCCUGGAGAAUUUUUAGAAAAGAAACAAUUUUUCAAAUCAAUUCUUUCCUAGUGACAAAUUGUUUAAAGGGAUUACAUCUUAAAAACAAAAUGGAUGGAUUCCAUAGAUAGCUCAUUAACAGUCCUGGAGAAAGAUGUUUCUCUUGAAUAAACCUGUAUUUCAAAUCACCUAAGUAGAACCUUAAAACUGUACCACUUGAAACAAGAGACUCUGUUAAAACUGGAAGGGAUCUAUCUUCUUUUUACACUGAAAAAACUAAGUUCCAGAGAAGCCAAGCUAGAAAAGGAAUAAAGCCAGCAUCAGAAGCCAUUAGAAAUUGGCUCACAGUUUACUGCUCUUUGCAUCUUAUCACAAAACAAUAACACAAGUUUUGGCUUAUAGUUCAUUCAGUAGGACUACAAUUAACAAUAGUCUAAGUCAAGAAGAAUUAACCUGAAAAACAUUUUGGUUUAUAAUACAAUCAAAACUCAGAAAAAUGUUUACUUUAUUGUUCUCAGUAUCAUCAUGGCCCACAUGUAAGGUGUGUGUGUUUGCACAGAAAAUCUUAUUUUUCUUUGACAAUGUUAGAGUAAAAUAAACUCAAAAUUGGUUCCUAGGUCAAAUAUAUGCACUUUCUUCCAUUAUAUUUUUCUCUUAUAAUACUAAUAAUUUUUUUUUUAAUUUAGAGCUCCCAUUAGGAAUUUUCACGUGUGUGUGUAUGUAUUUAUGUAUACUGUAUAUACACACAUAUAAACUUCUUAACAAUAAAGUAAUUAGGUCUCUGAUAAAAAUAAUUCUUUUAUGAGUAAAAGGAUCACUGUUAAUCUAAAAACACCCUAGGGUUGAGCUACUAUAGACAUAAAUUUAUGCUCUAUUUUGGUACCAGGUUAUUCUGCCCCUACACUUCAUAGAGCAAAUGAUAAGUGGUAAAUGUUAGGUGCAUAUUGUUUGGUACCUAGACACUGAACUGCAGAGGUCCCAAAUGAGAAUAAAGCACUAAAAAGUACACAAAGUGAUUUGGGGGCAGAACAUAUUUGUCUUUUGGGGAGCAGACUGAGAAUUUGCUAAAAAGCUAAUUAUCUUUGAAACAUAAUUUACAUACUUAUCUGACAUAAAAGAUUCCAAAUAAUUCUCUUGUGUAUUGACCUUCAUUUAGAAAGGCUUUUAUUACAUAAUCCAUAUAUUAUCUUUUUAUGUCACAUUUCAAAAAUUAAACAGCGUUUUUAAAAAUCUGAAGCAAAUUACUUAAAAUUCUCUUCUUACUGAUAUUCCCACUUUCUCAUUUUUACCCACUCAUAAUAUUCUAUUUUUAUUUAAAAAGAAAAUUCAGCACAAAAGGAAAACAUCUAGGUAAAUUACAUCAUCACAUGGAGACCAUAGUUUUAAUGGAUCAUAUUCAAAGAUAUUGUUGUUGUUUUUUAACUGCCAAAUUAAUAACAUUUCUUUCCUUAAAUUAUAAAAAGUUGCAAAUUGUCCAGCAAAAACAAAAUCUUUCUAUACACAUUCUGCAAUUCUUGCAGCAAAAUGUACUGCUAUCAAAUAAUUAGUUACAAGGAUGCUCUUUUUAUAUAAAUAAGAAAGUGGGUAUAACUCACCAGUACAUAGUAAUAAAAUAAUCCCUAAAAACAUUUAUUCCAUUAAGCAAGAUAA
rnacentral:lncRNA from 1 species